AGACUUGUCACAAACUUCGAGAGAUUUGGAGAAAAUGAUGUCAAAACACAUCUUCCUCAAGCCCAUGCUGAGUAUCUCUGAUUUGGUUAAUUUCUUGCUGGCACCCUCUCUACGUCUCUGCCAUCUGUCACCUAGACAACACAGCAUCUUCCAAAUGAGUGCCUCUAUUUCCAGGGUGAUCUUAAAACAGAAAUCAGAUUUUCACCCCUGCUGAAUAUCCUUCAGGGUCUCUUCUCUGCACCCAGCUGGAAUCCAAACACUGGUCCAGGAAGCCCCGCCUGCCUCUCCUGCCUCACCCAGAUGGCUCUACCCUUUGCCCACCUCACUUCAGCCACAGUGGCCUCACCUAAGUGCCUCCACAUUUGGUAUCUAUUCAUUCUCUAGCCAGUGCACCUCAGAAUGCCUGGAAUUCAGCUGGGCAUGGUGGCCCAUUCCUGUAAUUCCAGCACUUUGUGAGGCCAAGGUGGGUGGAUCACUUGAGGUCAGGAGUUCGAGACCAGCCUGACCAACAUGGGGAACCCCCGUCUCUACCGAAAAUACAAAAAUUAGUUGGGCAUAGUGGUGCGUGCCUGUAAUCCCAGCCACUCUGGAGGCCGAGGUAGGAGAAUUGCUUGAACCUGGAGGUGGAGGUUGCAGUGAGCCAAGAUUGUGCCACUGCACUCCAGCCUGGGCGACACAGCAAGAUUCUGUCUCAAACAAACAAACAAACAAAUAAAAAGAAUGCCUGGAAUUCCUGUCCUUUCCCAUCACUUGUUGUCUCUUUCUCAUCUUUCCAGCCUCAGCUUAAAUGUCACCUCCUCAGGGGAGCCUUCCCUGGUCACAUGAUCUUUAAUAGGUCAUCCAUGUUUUUCUUCCCUCAGCACCUCAUUUGUUUCCUUCC
rnacentral:lncRNA from 10 species